AAAGCAGUCGACACACUCGACUGUCAGAUCCAACAUGGCGGCCGUAAUCGCACGAGAGUGAAACCCUUCGGAUGAAAAUGCCCCCGACUGGUCGUCAAUCGUUGUCCCGCGGGUAACCAGUUACGAAGUGCGUAGGUACACAACGAGUGACUCCCAUUCCGCUAAAGGAACUCGAAACUCACGGCGAAUGGAAAAUAUUCCCGCCGCCCACGAUCGCUUCGUGAGAACUGGCAUGGUCGAAUAUCUCAUUGAAAACGACGACGACGAAUUCCAGGAUAUAUAACACAGUGGAUGUAAAUGUGAGACUGGCAGCUGAUUGUUAUACGCAAUUGUAUACGACACGCGAGACAUUGUAAUUAUGAAUUGACAAAAAAUUGGCAAUUUAACGAAAGUAAGUAUGGACAAUAAUUACGUUAAUUAAUCAGAGUCUCGGCGAUAUCCACGCGUAAGUAUAACGAGUAGGCCAAGAUGGCGACCGGAAGUGAUAAAAAAAAUCUAGAUAAUAGUAACAUUUAAGUUAGUACAUUUCUAGAAGGUUCGCGUUGUGGAUAAUAAGUAUAGUCGUUUUUAUCUUGGCAAUAGUGAUCGCAUUGAAAUUACCGACAAUAAAGUCCAUGCUUCUGUACGUUGGCGUGAAUGCUAAUUUACGAUGGGUAAUAAUCAAUUCGACGUGGGUGUGCUAAUUGCAAUUUAUUACCAGAUAUUAAUUACGGAGUUUCAAGGAGAGUCUCAAGGAUAUUAAAAGUAUCGCUGCUAGUAGCGGAUACAGCUUGGGGCUUAUUUUCACGAACUACUUUCUUCAUCGAUAGUCAUGAAAUCAUGUCUGAGCAAGUUCAGUCUGCCACGGACUACGCAAAUAUCCUGGACUGGCUACGCCUUUGUUUGACGUAUUUGGCUAGAAGCUGAGUGGACAGUACACAGCAGCCAAGACACCAUAACGGUCGCUUGGGUAUAACGGCAGUGAAAUAAAGCGCGGCUGACAUUUUUCAAUAAGUUCUAUCAAGAAUGCGCGUAAAGGAGUCACAGUUAAAAAAUAUCGCCAUCUAGCUGCAAGAUAAUAAACCAUUAUUGGCUAGAGGCUCGAUGACAACAGGAACGAAGGAAACGCUUGCGAGGGAUUGUUUGAAAUUUAUUACUUGGCAAAGAGCACGUAUGUACAUAUGUACGAGCAUGUACGACGUAUGUACUAUCCUUUGUAUUUUACGGUAUCCAUUUUAAAAUCAUACAAUACGCGCACGAGAUUUACAUGACAAAUAUGGUUGAAGGAUAUAGCAGAUUUUUUUCCCCUCUACAAUAAAGCACGUGGACGUCUUUGGAUUGAGGAUGAAAUUAGAUAAAUAAAUAUAAGGAAGAAUAACCGAUA